rnacentral:lncRNA from 14 species
CAGGUUUCCUGUGCAGCAGGUGGGCUUGCUGGAAGCCAAGGAAAAGGUCUCUGUCUCCUAUGGUGAACUGCAGGAAUUGCUGCUUUCAGUUGUAGUCUCAUUUGUAAUCAGAGUGGGGAAGAAGCUGGUGAGACGCGGAUAUCUCCACCUUAACAUGUGUGCCUGUCACAGGCUUGACUGUGCCUCAGGGAUGCAAAGAAACAUGUAGACCUGGUCAGGACAGGAGGACUGUGCUGGCUGCAGUGCGAUGAGCAUUAGGAGUCUGCUUCUGCUGAGAUAACGAUCUGGGCACCCUCCUCUCCAGGGGACCUGCUCUCCUCACCACAGUGGUAAACCAGGAGGGAGAGACCCAGGGCUGUCCCUGCGGUCUUGCAAUCACCACUGGCUUUCAGAUUGCACCUUGUGCUGAUAACUCUAUCCAGCCUUCUUCAUUUUUUAUCUUCACGGACUUGUGGACAAGAGACAAACCCAGGCUAGAACAACCGUCCCCAACUGACCACGCGUGAGCUAGAUGAACAAACUGAUCCUUUCUUCAUCCAGACGAUGAUUGCUAGCUCUGCUGUCAUUUGUACUGUAAAUCCAGGCUUAACUUCAGCAUUCAAAUUCAUCUUCUUUGUGUAAGUUGGGGAAGGCUUUUGCAUGGUAAAAUACUGCUUGCUGAUUUUA